CGAAUUAGAUAAAUGCAUCUUAGUUUGCAUGAAUUGCCACAUGGAAAUACACGACGGUAUUACGCAGCUUCCGAUAGAAAUAUCGGAAUGAAAACAAGGUGAAUUGUCUGGAAGCCCGAAACAGGUAAAGCUGUGGGUAAUCAGCAGCCAAGCUUUUUGGUCAACGAGGCCGAACUGAAGGUUCAGAGACUAUCCCUUACGGGAGUACGGCUCGAAAGAGUUGGAAGCGCCUUGCACCCUAUGAUUUAAAUUAUUUAUAUCACGGGUGAUGAUAUAGUCCAUCCCUUUAGGAAACUUUUGG
rnacentral:ncRNA from 1 species